GCUCUGGGGCACAGGUGUGUCUGUUGUCUGGACAGCUCUCCAAAUCCAGGGAUAGCAGCUCCUGGGUAGCUGCCACUCUCUCUCCGUGUGAUGAAUCCUUGAGCCAUGAGUGUAACCAAUUCCUGAUUCUCCUUCGUGCUGUGGGUAAGGAGCAUGAUGAAGCAGGCAUCAGCUAAAGAAGAUUACCAAAGACACCCUUAAAAUCCUGAACAAGAAAAGCACUACAGAAAUGGGUGUUGAAGAUGAAGGACAGAAGCCCAGGAAGACCAAACCAGAGGCAUUUCUGACCCUGGAGACUGUUCACAAAGCUGCAGCAGUUGUCCUGUUUCGAUCAGCAUCAGAUCUCCAGCAGUGUCUGGAGCAGAGCACCAGCUUGGCCUCAGAAAUGCUGUGCCACCUGCCCCACCACAUCCAGCUCAUCUCUGACCUCAUGGAGCCAGCACUGAACAUCAGACUUUGCAGGACACGUGAGCAGAGUUAAUUCUGGGGAGUUGUGUCAGGACAAAGCUGCAGCAAGUUUUCUGUGAAGCCAGAAAAACCCCAAGAUCUGGGCUGCAAAUUCCCCAGAUUUGAUGCCAUGUGCUUGCAUGUGUUUUAGUUUCCCCUCCUCUGAAACAGAAUGCCAGGCACUUCCCCAUUCUCUUGUAUGGUGGUAGUUGUGGAGAAUCAAUACAGGCAUUUUAUUUUUAAAUCUUCCAAAAUUAAUAAAAUUCUAGAUUAUUUAAACGCAAAGGAUUUUAGGAUGGGUUUUGCUGUUUUGGACUGAGCCAUCAUAUUACUCAGUAACACAUCUGAUUGCCUGAAAUACCAUGGAUUUCUGAGGAGUAGCUCUGAGGGAUAGUUCUUUUAUUUUAACCAUUUAUUUAGCUCUUCUCCUCGUUCUCUAGUGAAUAAUGAAUUGCCUUUUUGUCUGCCACACAGUUUAUCCUUAAUGUUUUUUGAUUUAUUUUUUUUUGGCUCCUGUUUUAGGUGCUUAACUUGGGCAUUUCUUUCAGUCUGUCAUUUGUGUGUGUAUUCUCAGCUGCUGAACGAGCUGGGUGUGGUGGAGGCUGAGCUGCUGCUGGAGUUGUCCAGGCUGGCUGGGAGCCACAGGACGGGGCUGUGUGUCCGUGGCAGCACCACUCCUGCUGCUCCUCAGCUCCGAGCACACCGCACGGCUCCCCGAAGGGUUGGGGUCACCUUCGCCUCUCCAGAGAGCACUUUUGGUCUCCAGCUGAGCAGAAAAAGCCUUUAGGUUCAGGUAGCAGUGUUGCAGUGCUGGUGGGGGCUCAGGGCAGUGGGGAGGACGAGUCACCUCCACAGCCCGUGCCCACUGCCAGGGGCGGCUGACACCCACCCUCUGUAGCCCUGGCCAGGGAGGGGCUGUGUCCUGAUCGCCUGCCCCACUGUGCCCUGGGCUCCCUGUGCCACAGGUGACACCAGAUGUCACCAGCUGUCACCUGCUGAGGGUCUGUCCCAGCUGACAGAGGGGUUUGCAUGCUCUGUGACAGUGUGGGACACACGGCUCGGCCGCACUGGGACGAACCUGGCACGGUUCUGUUUGCAGGUUUUGUGCUGUUCGGGUGGUUGGUGAAGGAGUUGCUGUCACCCUGCUGACAGACCCAUGCAGGCUGCUGGGGUUUCCUUUUGCUUUGCAUCCCGUGGAAAUCGCCAGGGCUUUUUCAGCCUUCGCUUCACUGCUGCAGCCGCUCUGCCCGUGCCAGGGCAGCGUGCGGUGCCGGGCGGGGCAGAUCGCAGCCUCGGCUGGGCUGUGCGGUCCCGGGGGAUGUUCACUCUCCUGAGGAUGUUCUGUGCCCGGGGGAUGUUCAGUCUCCUGAGGAUGUUCUGUGCCCGGGGGAUGUUCAGUCUCCUGAGGAUGUUCUGUGCCCGGGGGAUGCUCGGUCCCAGGGAUGCUCGGUCCCAGGGAUGCUCGGUCCCGGGGGAUGCUCGGUCCCAGGGAUGCUCGGUCCCAGGGAUGCUCGGUCCCAGGGAUGCUCGGUCCCGGGGAUGCUCGGUCCCGGGGCUAGGCGGGUCUGUGCUCCCGGGAGCAGGGGCUGAGCCCGCUCCCCUCUGGGGCAGUUCGGGGGCUGCUCUGCCCGCAGAGAUCCCGUCUCGGUUCGGCCGUGCAGCAUCGGAUCCCGCUCGGCUGGGGCUGCGUGCUGGCCUCCGGGGCUCCUGGCUGCGGCACAGGCAGUGCUGCAUGGAAAUCCUGCAGAACCUCAGCUGCAGCGCUCUGCGAGGAUUUCUUUUGAUGCGGGGAGAGGCACAAGCAUGUUUGAGUUUGUGAAGUUUUAUCCUUGAAUGUUCAGUUCCUUGAUUUUUAAGUUAAAAAAGAAUUCGGUUCCCAUAUGCCGUAUUUUUGGCUUUUACUUUGUAAAAGAGGAGUGGAAACCUUUCAGAGGCACAUCCACAUCUUGUGAUGCUCACAAACUGCCCCAGUUGCUGUUUUCCUUCCUGGUUUGUGUCCCUAGUUGGGGGCUGCAUAGUUUAGAUUUGUGGUUUCCUUUCACAGGGAGCAGGAAAGUAUUUUGCAGUAAUAAUAUUUUAAUAGAUUUACAGACACCUGGCAGCAGUAGCAUUUAAUCAGAAACACUGGGAAAAAGGAGUGGGAAAUAUAGAAGAACUACACAAAUGUCUGAGCUCUAUGUUAAUUUCUUCUGCUUAGAAGCUAAAGUUUGGUAACAUAAUAAAAAUAACAAGUUUUGUUAACGUUACUCUACAAUAACAAAAGAG